ACUUUUAACAAUGGAUCUCUUGGCUCUCACAUCGAUGAAAAACCCAGUGAAAUGGGAAAAGUAAUGGGAAUUGCAAAAUUCAGGGAAUCAUCGAAUUUUUGAACCCAUAUUGGCCCUUUUGGCUUUUCCAAAAGGUACCCCUGUUUGAAAAU
rnacentral:rRNA from 1 species